rnacentral:rRNA from 1 species
UACGUAGGGACCGAGCGUUGUCCGGAUUCAUUGGGCGUAAAGGGUGCGUAGGUGGCGCUGUAAGUCGGGUGUGAAAUUUCGGAGCUUAACUCCGAAACUGCAUUCGAUACUGCCGUGCUUGAGGACUGGAGAGGAGACUGGAAUUUACGGUGUAGCGGUGAAAUGCGUAGAUAUCGUAAGGAAGACCAGUGGCGAAGGCGGGUCUCUGGACAGUUCCUGACGCUGAGGCACGAAGGUCAGGGGAGCAAACGGG